GGAACAGCCAAAAGCUACAAUCAGUAGUUGACAAAAGGAAAAAAACUUUAGUACCUAGAUACUUAAUCAUCAAUGGCUAACUCUCUGCUGGUUUUACUAGUCACUGUUUAAACUUUAUUUUUAACUAAUUAAGUUAAAAAGUUACUUCCUCUAUUGCACUUGGCAAAUCUCAAGUGCUCAGUAGCCACAGGUGGCUGAUGCUAUGACAAUGGACUGCAUAAAUACAGAAUUUCCAGCAUCACAGAACAUUCCAUUGGACGGUACUGAUCCAGAUCCCUUAUCCCAGAGAAUGGGGUCUUCCCCAUGGCUGAUCUGGGCAUAGGUCACCCAGAGACCGUCUUACAGCUGGAAUCUGUGGUUCCGUGAUUCCUCUCAGAAAUAAAGAAGCGGUAUUUGAGGAGAGAUGGAGAAAUUCUGGGAACCCAAGCCCUCUUGGACGAAGCAGUAACCUCAGCUUCCGUGGUGCAUCUUUGCUUUCUGCCAUCCUUCCUUCCUUUGUUCCUUCCUCCUUCUCCUCCCUUCUUUGACUCCUUUCGUGUCCACUGAGGACCCAGCAUUUUGUCUGUACUAAGCCGGUGCUGUGAGAGUUAAAGAAACAGUAAGGUCUCCCUGUAAGACACCUGCCAUCUUAACUCCUUUGGGAACAGAGAGAGAGGUUGGAAGAAACAAAUGCAAACCAACUGAAAGGACAAGAACUACAUAUAGCUGAUUGUCCUUAUUGCAGUGAUUAUGUUUUACAGACCUGCCACAAACUAGUCAGUCGCGAACCAGUGCUCCCAGCAGAAUACAGUAGGGUCCUGAGAACCUCUGGUCACAAUACUUUCAGCAACCAAUCAAUACCUAACCUUGUUUUCUGUGUGUUUCUGUCUAAAGACGCCUUAUUUAAUACAUGGUUGAUUCAUUAACAUCGAACUCUCAGUCAACAGCCCUCUGACUGGUGCCUGAAUGACAUUUCUCUAACGCACGUGCAUUCCCCACGAGGCGCAUCACAGCCUUCUUGAGCUUGGGGACACCAGACAGCACUUCAGGAUUUUCUAGGAGGACAUUUUAAACAGAGAAAUCAUAAACUAAAAGCACAAAUAUGUGAAAAAUGCAACACGAAACAGACCGCAAACAGGGCACUUGUUACAGUUAAGGAGAAGAAACAAGAAGGUUGCCCAGGUGGCAACAGGAACCUUGAGCAACUCAAACUUUUCGCAGCUCUGCGCGUGUCCACAAAUGACCACGAAAGGACUGCGAGUGUUGAUUUUGGGGUAACAGAUAAAUUUUAGCAAGUAGACAAAUUCAUAAAUAUGAAAUCUGUGAAUAAUGAGGGUUGACCAUGGAUAUAUGUGAGUGUGCAUAAAGUUCCCAUUCAGAAAAAUUAAGGACCAAAAGAGAAAAGGAAAUACAUUGGGAAAAAUUUUAUGGAGAAUAGGGGCAAUGGACGGAGGUGAGAGACGUGGGGAGGGAGGGCCUUCCAGCCUCGUGCCCUGGAUGAGGAGAGGUGAGCACGGUGAGGUGUGUGUUUCUGUGAGAAAGGAGGUGGAGUCUAGCUGGAGAAGGGGCUACACGGGAGCCAAGCGGGAGCAGCUUGGAAGGGAGGUGGAAGCCAGGUGGAAGGUAGGCGGACGUGUGUGAUUCAUCUUGAGAAAUCCUGAGCCACAUCUGCGGGAGAAGGUGAAGAGUAAGUCAGCUGUGUGAGUCUGACCUCAGUAUGCUCAACUCCAAAUACUAGGUAAGAGAGGCCUUUUAGAAGAGAUGACAAAAUAGCAGUUAGUUCUUCAAACACCAAUUUGUAGAAGAGAAGAAUGUUUAGGAGGAAAGACUUUUAGGGUGGUCUUCACUGAAAACAUAUUUCACAAGCAAGUAGCAAUAACCUGUUCUGUUGGCAAAACAAGAGAAACUGGGCUCAAAGCCAGGAUGAGACAGAAAUGUUGCUUUUGAAGAUGAAACCCUGUAGACAUUUGUCAAAGCCCACUCAUGCUUCAGACCAUCAGAACAAAAGGUAUAAGUACCUGUUUUGAUGAAAUAUCACUGGCUACUUCGUAGGAAAAAUAUAAGUAGAGCUGGAAUCUCUGAGUCAGAAAAAAACCCAGUACAGCUGAGUCUUGCAAGCAAGCACACUCACAAAAGGAGCAGAAGUGACUGUGGGGAAAAUAAAGCAUGGUCUAGACCAGCUGUCAUGAAGAAUUUUUUUCUUGUAACUUGAAAACAGCUUGCCUCCCUGCUUGAUCCACCUUUCCGUGACUCGAGCUCGGGGGCUGUUGGGCUUGUGUCCAUGACUCCAGAACCGGGGUUGCGGCACUGAAUGGGUGCGGGUUUGGUGCAGUGGUCCCAAAGGAAGGGGACCUGGCAUGGGUUAAGGGGCCCAAACUUCAAAGCAGCACAUCAAAACUUGGCUACCGGGGCCGGUCCCGUGGCUGAGUGGUUAAGUUCGUGCGCUCCGCUUUGGCAGCCCAGGGUUUUGCUGGUUCGGAUCCUGGGUGCGGAUAUGGCACCACUCAUCGGGCCAUGCUGAGGCGGCGUCCCACAUGCCACAACUAGAAGGAGCCACAACUAAAAUAUACAACGAUGUACUGGGGGGAUUUGGGGAUAAAAAGC
ensembl:lncRNA